ACUGUUUGGUAAUAUUAUUAAAAUUAGAAAUCUGAAAUGUCACAAUUAGUAAAAAUGAUAAAGCUAAAUAAUGGUCAGCAAUACCCAAUCUUAGGACUUGGCACUUGGCAGGUAUAUAUAUUAUUAGUUACCAUAUCUUGUAUUUUAGUAUGUCUACUUAAAAAUCAUACUAUCUAAUUUUUAAACCUUUUUAAAAAUUCAAUGAUUUCCAUAAUUCACUAUUCUUUUUGAUUCUCUGAUAUAAAAACUUUAUUUUAUCAUGGUGUAACAUUUUAACCUACCUGACUUUUAAAGCCUAUAUAGAUAUAUUUUUAUAAGAAUGUUAUACUUUAUUGUGCUAAAGAAUAAUUCCAUAAUGAUUUUCAUAUAAUUUUUCUUGUUAUUAAUUAUAAUAAACAUUUUUGCAGUCCAAAUCCGAAGUAGAUGAAUCCGAGCAGAUUGAAAUUUAUGAGGCUGUUAAGAGUGCAAUCGAUAUAGGAUACCGUCAUUUUGAUUGUGCUGCUUUUUAUAACAAUGAAAAGUUUGUAGGAAAAGCUAUCGCUGAAAAGAUUAAAGAAGGAGUUAUAAAAAGAGAGGAAAUAUAUAUCACCAGUAAGGUAUGAUGUAGUAUGUUAAAAUUCUCCAAGACUAAAUUUAAAAAAAACACAUAAUUUUUUUAAAAUUUGUUAACCUAUUAUUAUGUUUAAUUAUAUUAAACACAAGAUGUACAUGAGAGCUUUAAGAAUCAUAGAACUAGUUAAGUACCUAUUGAAUUAUUUAAGUUAUAAUAAUAUUUACUUACAUAAAAAUAAAAUCAAAUGGAUUUUAAGUAUAGACAAUUACUACAAAAAAAAAAUGGAUUUUUUAUCCAUUGCAUUUUUAAAUAUUUAUUUCAUUACAAAAAUAUGAUUUGUAACUUUCCAUUAGCAUAUAAAUACCAUGAGCAAAUGUAGUUUUAUAUAUUUUUUCAAUAACACAAUAAUGUACACAACAUAGGUAGACCACACAGUUUUACGAACAGAGCACAAACGACCAACAGUGGAUAUAGUCAAUUGGUUAACAAAAAAAUCAUCUGCUAUUCUAAAUAAUAUUAUUAUUUACCUAUUUAUUUUUCAAAAAAACGAAAUUAUACAAAACAAUCAAACAAUAUUUAUUGUUAUACAAAUUAUAAAUUAAGUACUUCAUAUUAUUAAUUUUGUAAUUGUAACUGUAAGUAUCCAUUUUAUAACCAUUAUUUAACUAUUUAUUAUUUAUUAUUUAAAUUUUAAGCUAAAUUACACAUCACAUUAAUAAAAAUUCAAAAUUCUAUAUCUAAUAACAAUAUUAUAAAAAUAAUUAAUAUAAAUUCAAAACUCAAUAUACCAACAAAACAAUAUUAUAAAGAUAAUUAACAUUUUAGGAAAUUAUAGGUUUAAUUUAAUAGGUUGUUUAACCAGCCUUCUAACUCUUAUAGUUAUUUUAUUUUAAGCCUUUCAAUGCUUCUCAACCACUUCUUUGACUAGAACUGUCUUUACUACCUGACUUUGUUUUUUUCAUCUUCCUUUUUGUCAUAUCUAAUUGUUCAUAAUCUCAACCUUCUUU
rnacentral:lncRNA from 1 species